rnacentral:rRNA from 1 species
GAUGAACGCUGGCGGCGUGCCUAAUACAUGCAAGUCGAGCGAACGGACGAGAAGCUUGCUUCUCUGAUGUUAGCGGCGGACGGGUGAGUAACACGUGGAUAACCUACCUAUAAGACUGGGAUAACUUCGGGAAACCGGAGCUAAUACCGGAUAAUAUUUUGAACCGCAUGGUUCAAAAGUGAAAGACGGUCUUGCUGUCACUUAUAGAUGUAUCCGCGCUGCAUUAGCUAGUUGGUAAGGUAACGGCUUACCAAGGCAACGAUGCAUAGCCGACCUGAGAGGAUGAUCGGCAACACUGGAACUGAGACACGGUCCAGACUCCUAAGGGAGGCAGCAGUAGGGAAUCUUCCGCAAUGGGCGAAAGCCUGACGGAGCAACGCCGCGUGAGUGAUGAAGGUCUUCGGAUCGUAAAACUCUGUUAUUAGGGAAGAACAUAUGUGUAAGUAACUGUGCACAUCUUGACGGUACCUAAUCAGAAAGCCACGGCUAACUACGUG